rnacentral:rRNA from 1 species
CCUACGGGGGGCAGCAGUGGGGAAUAUUGGGCAAUGGGCGCAAGUCUGACCCAGCAACGCCGCGUGAGUGAAGAAGUAUUUCGGUAUGUAAAGCUCUAUCAGCAGGGAAGAAAAUGACGGUACCUGACUAAGAAGCACCGGAUAACUACGUGCCAGCAGCCGCGGUAAUCCGUAGGGGGCAAGCGUUAUCCGGAUUUACUGGGUGGAAAGGGAGCGUAGACGGUUAUGCAAGUCUGAAGUGAAAGCCCAAGGCUCAACCAUGGUACUGCUUUGGAAACUGUAAAACUGGAGUGCAGGAGAGGUAAGUGGAAUUCCUAGUGUAGCGGUGAAAUGCGUAGAUAUUAGGAGGAACACCAGUGGCGAAGGCGGCUUACUGGACUGUAACUGACGCUGAGGCUCGAAAGCGUGGGUAGCAAACAGGAUUAGAUACCCGGGUAGUC